UUCCGCCUUCCUGACGGGGCUCUACCCCUUCCGGCUCGGGCGCCAGGGGCUUCCUUUAGGCAGCCAUACACCCACUGGUCUCGCGGUCCACCACACGCUGCUGCCGGAGCGCCUCUCGCGCCUCGGCUACUCCACGCACAUGAUCGGGAAGUGGCACCUCGGCUUCUGCGACUGGGCCUACACGCCGCUCGAACGGGGCUUCGACACCUUCUAUGGCUACUAUGGAGGCUCCGAAUUCCACUUCAAUCACACUGUCACCAACGGCUAUGACUUCCGCGACCAGAGAGAACCGGACUUCACGGCGAACGGGACAUAUGCCACACACCUGUUCGGAGACCGCGCCGUCAGGAUCAUCGAGGAACACCAAC